CAGGCGUAGCAAUACGUGCUGACGAGCGGCGAACGGGUGAGUAACGCUUCGGAAUCUGCCCAAUGGUGGGGAAUAACCAGCCGAAAGGUUGGCUAAUUCCGCAUGAGCCCUACGGGGGAAAGCGGGGGAUCGCAAGACCUCGCGCCGAUGGAUGAGCCGAAGCCGGAUUAGCUAGUUGGUAGGGUAACGGCCUACCAAGGCGACGAUCCGUAGCUGGUCUGAGAGGACGACCAGCCACACUGGGACUGAGACACGGCCCAGACUCCUACGGGAGGCAGCAGUGGGGAAUAUUGGACAAUGGGGGAAACCCUGAUCCAGCGACGCCGCGUGUGUGAAGAAGGCCUGCGGG
rnacentral:rRNA from 1 species